CCUACGGGUGGCAGCAGUGGGGAAUAUUGGACAAUGGGCGAAAGCCUGAUCCAGCCAUGCCGCGUGUGUGAAGAAGGCCUUCGGGUUGUAAAGCACUUUCAGUGGGGAAGAAAGCCUUGGGGCUAAUACCCUCGAGGAAGGACAUCACCCACAGAAGAAGCACCGGCUAACUCCGCUGCCAGCAGCCGCGGUAAUACGGAGGGUGCGAGCGUUAAUCGGAAUUACUGGGCGUAAAGCGCGCGUAGGCGGUCUGAUAAGCCGGUUGGGAAAGCCCCGGGCUCAACCUGGGAACGGCAUCCGGAACUGUCAGGCUAGAGUGCAGGAGAGGAAGGUAGAAUUCCCGGUGGAGCGGUGAAAUGCGUAGAGAUCGGGAGGAAUACCAGUGGCGAAGGCGGCCUUCUGGACUGACACUGACGCUGAGGUGCGAAAGCGUGGGUAGCAAACAGGAUUAGAUACCCCAGUAGUC
rnacentral:rRNA from 1 species